rnacentral:lncRNA from 1 species
GUUUCAUUUAUCAAUUGAGUCUAAUCAAAUAUAAUUUGGUUAAAGAUCAAGUUGAACUAAAAACCUAGAGUCCAAACUUUGUUCCACUCUUCCUAGCGCUAACCCCAUGAUGAUGCCAACUUUCCUCAUCCUCAAAGAGUUUUAGUAUGAAGUUUUCUCAUGCCAAAAGAGAUUGUCGCCCUUCUGAUCAGACGUCCAAAGAUGGGAUUAAAUCUGGUGUAUAAGGAAUGUUCAAUUCAAAUUUGAAUUUGAUUCCUUAUAUGGAUGAGUUUUGACUUUAUCCAAAUACCUUGCCGCCCACUAUUGUUUCCUUUUAUUUUGUGCGACAAUAUGAGAGGCUUUUCACUAUGGAAACAUCUGAUAUUAGCAUGGGUUUGGUGUGAGAAAACUGCCACAUCCCAUCGCUUUAUGUUGCCCCGUUG